GUUUAGCCUGCAGUCUUUUAGCAUAUAAAGCUUGCGACACACCACAUACUUUGUUUGCGAAGACGUGCCCACAAUACGACUGCGAGUUUCGCCAGGGUCAGACAAGCGAUCGCUCAUGUGUACAUCGCUUGUUUCUAUUCUGGGAACCAGCGAUUGAUGUGAUGCUGUUUAACUAUUAUAACGCGUCGGAAGAGAACAUGAACGUAUAUAUGUGCCGUGCGAUAUUGAAGUAGAUGCUGUAACAAGAGAAAGUUGCCUGCAUUACACCGAAGCUUGGAGCGUGCGGCGUUAAGUACGGGCGGCGGAUAGCAAGUGACGCAACAAAAUGUGCCACCUUAAAGCUUUCUUCCUUGCCGUCGCCGUAUUGUUUGCAACGCACACAGUCACGAAACACGCUGCCGCGGAGGAGAGCGACUUCGUUGACUGGGGAGAAGGAAGCGGCGAUCAGUGUGAUACUUCGCAGAACUGCGAUUCACCAGAAACGUGUUGUGUGAGCACCCACGGCCCUAAACUCUGUCAACCGCUGGCUCAGAUUGGUCAACGUUGCUCACUGGACGAGCGUAGUGGCUCACAUAAAACAUACUGCCCUUGUGCAUCACCGCAUACGUGUGUUCACAAGGGAGAAGGGAUCAGCAUAUGCGUGGCUCCUGGCAAACGAAAAUAAACUUCAACAAAUUUCA